rnacentral:tRNA from 1 species
GUCCCCGUGGUCUAGCGGCUAGGAUAUCUGACUACGAAUCAGGGGAUCACGGUUUCGAAUACCGUCGGGGAUU